rnacentral:rRNA from 1 species
UACGGGAGGCAGCAGUGGGGAAUAUUGCACAAUGGGCGCAAGCCUGAUGCAGCCAUGCCGCGUGUAUGAAGAAGGCCUUCGGGUUGUAAAGUACUUUCAGUCGUGAGGAAGGUGUUAAGGUUAAUAACCUUAGCAAUUGACGUUAGCGACAGAAGAAGCACCGGCUAACUCCGUGCCAGCAGCCGCGGUAAUACGGAGGGUGCGAGCGUUAAUCGGAAUUACUGGGCGUAAAGGGCACGCAGGCGGUUAAUUAAGUUGGAUGUGAAAUCCCCGGGCUUAACCUGGGAAUGGCAUUCAAGACUAGUUAGCUAGAGUCUUGUAGAGGGGGUAGAAUUCCAUGUGUAGCGGUGAAAUGCGUAGAGAUGUGGAGGAAUACCGGUGGCGAAGGCGGCCCCUGGACAAAGACUGACGCUCAUGUGCGAAAGCGUGGGGAGCAAACAGGGAUUAGAUACC